rnacentral:tRNA from 1 species
GCGGGGGUCGCCAAGCCUGGUCAAAGGCGCAGGGCUCAGGCCCCUGUCCCGUAGGGGUUCGUGGGUUCAAAUCCCACCCCCCGCACCA